CACGCUUGGUAUCUGAAAAUAGCCCAAAAUGAACGUGCGUACUAUCAAGGAUUACUUAUCUACAAUCCGUCAAGUUGGCAUAGCUGAUAAUACUUGCUAAUUAGUGAGACUGACAAAAUCACAGUAGAUACGCAGCAGUUGACAUUAUUAUAAAGGUGCUGAAAAGCUUGCUUUUAAAGAAUUUCCUGUUGUAGCUCUUAUUCGCCAAAAUACAACGGAUACUGAAAAUCUUCCCAAUGAAUGUGAUAACGAAUAUUAAUCCCACCAGUGUGCUCGUGUAAUGAUUAUUAAUACUGAAAUGCUGGAAAAAUGAUUUUAGUCUUCGUCAUUGUGUUGGUGCUCUAUGGAAAUUUACUAUUAUUCUCUCUGCGAAGAAACUAUAAUGUCCCAACCCUUUUAAGGGAAAUAAAAACCAUGUAAUGAGGAAGAAUUUCAAAAUACUGAAAUAUAGUACCAAUAUCUACAGGUUUAAGAGAAGCUCCUUCAAAAUCUGGUAUCUAUAACAAAAUCUUCUGUAAUGGAAAGGAUAAUCAUGAAGCAGAUGAAGCAAUAAAACAACAAUGAUGCAGAAUUCAUCCAGAAGUAAGGUAGACAAAGUCAAAACGUCAAUACUUCGCAAUGGC